rnacentral:siRNA from 1 species
UGGAAACAGGGUGUAAACGAUG